GAUGAACGCUGGCGGCGUGCUUAACACAUGCAAGUCGAACGGAAAGGCCCAAGCUUGCUUGGGUACUCGAGUGGCGAACGGGUGAGUAACACGUGGGUGAUCUGCCCUGCACUUCGGGAUAAGCCUGGGAAACUGGGUCUAAUACCGGAUAGGACCACAUUUUGGAUGGUGUGGUGGAAAGUUUUUCGGUGUGGGAUGAGCUCGCGGCCUAUCAGCUUGUUGGUGGGGUAAUGGCCUACCAAGGCGUGGACGGGUAGCCGGCUUGGACGGGUGUACGGCCCAGUGGGCAAUGGGAUACGGCCCUGACUCAUCCGGGGGGAUGGAGGGGGGACUGUUCGAAAAUGGCCGCAAGCCGGAUGAAGGGAUUCGGGUUGGGGAUGACGGCCUUCGGGUUGUAAACUCCUUUCGCUAGGGACGAAGCGCAAGUGACGGUACCUGGAGAAGAAGCACCGGCUAACUACGUG
rnacentral:rRNA from 1 species